rnacentral:rRNA from 1 species
UUCCUACGGGAGGCAGCAGUGGGGGAUAUUGCACAAUGGGGGAAACCCUGAUGCAGCGACGCCGCGUGAGUGAAGAAGUAUUUCGGUACGUAGAGCUCUAUCAGCAGGGAAGAAUAAUGACGGUACCUGACUAAGAAGCCCCGGCUAACUACGUGCCAGCAGCCGCGGUAAUACGCAGGGGGCAAGCGUUAUCCGGAUUUACUGGGUGUAAAGGGAGCGUAGACGGCCAGACAAGUCUGAAGUGAAAAUCCAGCGCUUAACGUUGGAAGUGCUUUGGAAACUGCCGGGCUAGAGUGCAGGAGGGG